UAGGGAAUCUUCCGCAAUGGACGCAAGUCUGACGGAGCAACGCCGCGUGAGUGAAGAAGGAUCUCGGUUCGUAAAACUCCGUUGUUAGAGAAGAACAAAUGUGUAAGUAACUAUGCACGUCUUGACGGUACCUAAUCAGAAAGCCACGGCUAACUACGUGCCAGCAGCCGCGGUAAUACGUAGGUGGCAAGCGUUAUCCGGAAUUAUUGGGCGUAAAGCGCGCGUAGGCGGUUUUUUAAGUCUGAUGUGAAAGCCCACGGCUCAACCGUGGAGGGUCAUUGGAAGCUGGAAAGCUUGAGUGCAGAAGAGGAAAGUGGAAUUCCAUGUGUAGCGGUGAAAUGCGCAGAGAUAUGGAGAAACACCAGUGGCGAAGGCGACUUUCUGGUCUGUAACUGACGCUGAUGUGCGAAAGCGUGGGGAUCAAACAGG
rnacentral:rRNA from 1 species